GUGUACAUUUCAUUAACCUGUUUUCCUCUACAGGUGUGAGCACAGGUGAAGGUUAGUUACCAGUAGAACUAAGCAGGCAUGCUCCUGGUCUCCUUCAAAGAGUU
rnacentral:snoRNA from 1 species